rnacentral:rRNA from 1 species
UCGUAUGCCUGGAGCAUUGGAAUAUGAAACUGGGUCGCGCGUUUCUUAUUUUUGUAGGUUCAUAGGACAGCCGUAAUGAUAAAGAGGUACAGUCGGGGGCUUCUAGUCUUCAACUGUCAGAGCUGAAAUUCUUGGAUCAGUAGAAGACUAGCUACUCCGAACGCAUGGGCCAAGGAUGUUUUCCAUUAAUCAGAAACGUAAGAUAGGAGAUCGAAGGCGAUCAGAUUAGGUUGUAGUAUUAACUAUAAGCUAUGCCGAUUAGGGAUCGGUCGGUUUUAGUCACGUCCCGUUCGGCACCUUACGAGAAAUCAAAGUGCUUGGGCUCCGAGGGGGAGUAUGGUCGCAAGGCUGAAACUUAAAGAAAGUGACGGAAGGGCAACGCCAGGAGUGGAGCCUGUAGUUUAAUUUGACUCAACACAGGGAACCUCGUCCAGUCCAGAUACGAUAAGGAUUGACAGAUUGAGAGUUCUUAUUUGAUUUUGUGGGUGGCAGUGCAUGUCCGUUCUUAGGUGGUGGGGUGACUGGUCAGCUUAGAUGCGAUACGGAACGAGACCUUAAUAUACUAAAUAGCCCGCAUUGGUCCGUCAGUGCGCUGGCUUCUUAGAGGGACGCUCAGCUCAAUCCGAAGGAAGUGCGAGACCAUAUCAGGUCUGUGAUGCCCUUAGAUGUUCUGCGCCGCCCGCGCGCUACCCUGACGGGGUCAGCGAGUUCCUUAGCCGAAAGGCCCGGGUAAUCUUGUUAGCCUCCGUCGUGCUGGGGAUAGAGCAUUGCAAUUAUUGCUCUUCAACGAGGAAUCCCUAGUAAGCGCAAGUCAUCAGCUUGCGUUGAUUACGUCCCUGCCCUUUGCACUCACCGCCCGUC